GUUUACAGCCACACCAGCUGAAAAUGGCCCGAUCUCGUCUGAUCUCGGAAGCUAAGAAGGCUCGGGCCUGGUUAGUACUGGGAUGGGAGACUGCCUUGGAAUACCAGGUGCUGUAAGCC
rnacentral:rRNA from 1 species